rnacentral:rRNA from 1 species
UACGUAGGGGGCUAGCGUUGUCCGGAAUCAUUGGGCAUAAAGGGCUCGUAGGUGGCCAACUAAGUCGGACGUGAAAUCCCUCGGCUUAACCGGGGAACUGCGUCCGAUACUGGUUGGCUUGAGUUUGGGAGAGGGAUGCGGAAUUCCAGGUGUAGCGGUGAAAUGCGUAGAUAUCUGGAGGAACACCGGUGGCGAAGGCGGCAUCCUGGACCAACACUGACACUGAGGAGCGAAAGCCAGGGGAGCAAACGGG